rnacentral:lncRNA from 10 species
AUGCACUAUUACCACUGAGCAUUUACUAUGUUCCAGGCCCUGUGCUAAGCGCAUUGCCUGCUGCGUCUCACCCUUCAGUAGGAGUAGAUAAUCCUUACAGCAGCAGCUCUGCACAGUAUCAUUCUCCCCUGUACAAAUGAAGAGACGGAAGCUCGAAUUCUCACACGACACCCUUGCAGCACUUGAACCACUCCAGGAUUCUCUUCUGCUGGUCACCCAACUAUUCUCCCAGGUCACCGGGGUUACUUACAAUCUUGGAUUUAGGGUUGCCAGAUUUAGCAAAUAAAAAUACAGCAUGCCUGGUUAAAUUUGAAUUUCAGGUA